rnacentral:pre_miRNA from 1 species
AGGAGCAACAGCCCUAGUGGUGGGGCCAGCUCUGGAAACCUGGAUUCAGCCCCCGCAGGAACUCCGGAGCUCUCUGUCUGCAGGGCCUGGAGGCUCCGGGGCGGG